AAAUUUGGGAAGAUUCGUCUGGGAGACUUUGGAGUGGCAAAAACCCUUGAAAGAUCUUCAAGCUAUGCACACACUGAGGUGGGAACAUUUCAUUACCGGAGUCCAGAAAGAGUUGAGGGAAAGCCAUACCAAAGGAAAAGUGACGUGUGGGCUUUGGG